GAUGAACGCUAGCGGCAGGCCUAAUACAUGCAAGUCGAGGGGCAGCAGGAAUAGCAAUAUUUGCUGGCGACCGGCGCACGGGUGCGUAACACGUAUACAAUCUACCUUUAACUGGGGGAUAGCCCGGAGAAAUCCGGAUUAAUACCCCAUAACAGUAGGAGAGGCAUCUCUCUUAUUUGAAAGUUCCGACGGUUAGAGAUGAGUAUGCGCCUGAUUAGUUUGUUGGUGAGGUAACGGCUCACCAAGACUACGAUCAGUAGGGGAUCUGAGAGGAUUAACCCCCACACGGAUACUGAGACACGGAUCCGACUCCUACGGGAGGCAGCAGUAAGGAAUAUUGGACAAUGGGCGCAAGCCUGAUCCAGCCAUGCCGCGUGCAGGAAGAAGGCCCUAUGGGUCGUAAACUGCUUUUACACCGGAGAAAACCCCCUUUCGUGAAAGGGGCUGAUAGUAUGGUGAGAAUAAGCAUCGGCUAACUUCGUGCCAGCAGCCGCGGUAAA
rnacentral:rRNA from 1 species